rnacentral:rRNA from 1 species
UAGGGAAUAUUGGGCAAUGGAGGGAACUCUGACCCAGCCAUGCCGCGUGCAGGAUGAAGGCGUUAUGCGUUGUAAACUGCUUUUAUAUAGGAAGAAAUAGUCCUUGCGAGGAAAGUUGACGGUACUAUAUGAAUAAGCACCGGCUAACUCCGUGCCAGCAGCCGCGGUAAUACGGAGGGUGCAAGCGUUGUCCGGAUUUAUUGGGUUUAAAGGGUGCGUAGGCGGUUUAUUAAGUCAGUGGUGAAAGACGGUCGCUCAACGAUUGCAGUGCCAUUGAUACUGGUAGACUUGAGUAUGAUUGAGGUAGCUGGAAUGGAUAGUGUAGCGGUGAAAUGCAUAGAUAUUAUCCAGAACACCAAUUGCGUAGGCAAGUUACUAAGUCAUAACUGACGCUGAGGCACGAAAGUGUGGGUAUCAAACAGGAUUAGAUACCCAGUAGUCCCUGAGCGGGCUGGCAAGGCGCAU